rnacentral:lncRNA from 1 species
AUGGCCGGCCAGCCCUGGCUGGUGGCCUGUAACACAUCCAACUGGCUUAGCAGUCUCCCACAGCAGGAAGCAGAGGACCCCACAGGGCUGAACUGUACCUCUGUCCUUGUAGCCACUGCUUGCCCGGGGUCACUGAUACCAUGUGGCAGUUCUGGGGUCCCCUCUGGUCCCACCAGCCUGAACUGCCAAGGCGUGAUGCUGCUCCCUGCUGACACCCUUUCAGCUCCCCUCCCACUUACCUGCAGCUGGGACAGCCUCUUCAGCAAGCCCUCCCUCACUGCCCCACCGGGCUUUCCCCGGAGCUCAGCUGGAGCCAGCAGGGCCCUGCCCUCCCUCUCCUGGGAGGCAUCAGAGAGGAGCCGGUCCCCAAAGCCGCCAGGAGCAGUGGGGAUGGAAUUGAGGACCCGGAGAGUUGGUGGCCAGGGAGACCUCUUGUGGAUCCAGGAAAUCUUUUGUUACCAAUCAGCAGUCUGCCGAUGGCCGGAUGGGUCCUCUAGGGAAAGAAGGCGUAAUCUCAGCACUGUGGGAGGCUGAGGCAGGAGGAUCACAAAUUCUAACCAGCCUGGGUAAGUGAGCGACUUAGUGCGACCCCAUCUCAAAAUAAAAAAAUGGUUGGAGUGGGGAGCAGCACCACAGCCUAGACCCUUUGUUUCCCCCCCAGCCU